CAUCUCGAUCCAAGCCAGGGGCAUACUACUAUGCUCAUCCUGCCACCAAGCGCACCCAGCCUGAUCAU
rnacentral:ribozyme from 1 species